rnacentral:lncRNA from 1 species
UGUUCUGUUCUGUUCUGUUCUAGAAAAUCCCUCCUUCAAAGGAGCACUUCGCACAAUGACGAAUGUUUAUAUAUAUAAUUAUAUGUACCUAAAAAGACAUACUACGUACGCCUCGUGAGAUGAGUGUUGGUUACUGUCAAAGACCCUUACGCUUGCUUGGCGGAAGGUUUUUAAUAAUACGAGUUCGUAGUCCAUGUAGAGCAAAGCAAAGCUUCCUUGUGAUGUAUUCUACAGUGUAGCAGAAAUCCAUGCAUUUACAUUUACAACCACAAGCACAAAUAAAGCUACUAGGGUCUAAUAUAAAGUUAGUGUCUAGUGUGAUGUUACUAUGGAUACUACAUUUCAUGCACACAUCAAUACUACCAAUAAAAUUAUCUAAUUCUUGUAGAUAAGGUGAACG